rnacentral:lncRNA from 10 species
GGAAUAUACAAAUUAACUGGAGACAAGAUAUAGAGACAUGAAACAGUCAAAUAACAAAGUAAAGUUCUAUAUUGUUGAGUAGGAUAGUGAAUAUGUGAAUAUUUAUAUGUGGAUGUUAUAGGAAUCCAGAGGUAGGAGAAUAUGUUCUGUCAUGGAGCGAUUAGAAAAUGAAAGCAUUGAGUUGGGGGCAAUACUUGGGCAAGAUUUCUAUCAGAAGGGAGGAAGGGGAGUGGCUUUGCAGAGAUGGGGGAGGACACAUAAGCAGAGCUAAUAAGCCGGGAGUGCUUUCCUCUUGGAUGCACAAUGGCUACAGAUAAUAAUAUAAUUUUGUUCAUGUAAACGUGCUUCUGAAAUGAUUUGGGGGCAGAUAUUGUGUUGUUGAAUUUAUUUUUUACCCCAUAGUAAUCUUAAAGGUGGGAACAUCAUGCCAGAAGGAAAGAAGGAUAGCCAAAAUGAUGUGAAGAGCAGUUUCCUGACAAAGGUCUGGGUUUUAGUCCCUGUGCUGUCACUUCAUUUUUGUUAAAGUGACUUAAGGAUGAAAAGUGAACCACUCCACGUGGCCUAUAGGACUCUCCAUGAUCUGGUCUUUCCUGACCACUCCAGGGUCACAUCAUGCCACCCUCUGCUUCACCCUGGCACAAGGCAAAGGGUCUUCUUUCAGUUCCUCAAAUAUGGAUCUUCCCUAGCUCCCUGAAACAACCCUAUUAUAUGCAUUUGAGUACACCGUAUCUCUUUACGGCUUCUAGUGCAUUUAUCAUGUAUUUAUUUGUUUAAGAAGUUCCCUACAUAGCUGUUGGCUCUAUACCCAAGGUCCUGUGUCUGUUUUGCUCACCAAUGUAUCAACAAUAUCUAAGGGAAUAUCAAGCACAAAUUAGCCUCCCAGUAAAAUUUGCUUAAUGAAUAAAUGAAUGCAAAAGAAUACAGUUUUGUACUUACUGGUCUUAUUGCAUCUGUGUAUUAUUUCUGAUUCACCCUAUGUCCAGUAGGAUUAGAGAAUCAUAGGAUC